CCUACGGGCGGCAGCAGUGGGGGAUAUUGCACAAUGGGGGAAACCCUGAUGCAGCGACGCCGCGUGGGUGAAGGAGCGUUUCGGCGCGUAAAGCCCUAUCGGCAGGGAAGAAGAUGACGGUACCUGACCAAGAAGCCCCGGCUAACUACGUGCCAGCAGCCGCGGUAAUACGUAGGGGGCAAGCGUUAUCCGGAUUUACUGGGUGUAAAGGGGGCGUAGACGGCGAUGCAAGUCAGGAGUGAAAGCCCGGGGCCCAACCCCGGGACUGCUCUUGAAACUGGAUGGCUGGAGUACAGGAGAGGCAGGCGGAAUUCCUGGUGUAGCGGUGAAAUGCGUAGAUAUCAGGAGGAACACCGGUGGCGAAGGCGGCUUGCUGGACUGUGACUGACGUUGAGGCUCGAAAGCGUGGGGAGCAAACAGGAUUAGAUACCCUGGUAGUC
rnacentral:rRNA from 1 species